UUCUACGGCCACACCACCCUGAACACGCCCGAUCCCGUCUGACCUCGGAAGCUAAGCAGGGUCGGGCCUGGUCAGUAUUUGCAUAAUAUUCUUUUAUAAUCUUUUUGUUAUCCAUGUUGUCAGUAGUAA
rnacentral:rRNA from 1 species